UCUGAGAUCCAGAGGUAUGUUUCUACAACAGCUGCUCUCCUUGGCACUGCCUGUGCCCUUCUGUCUGCCUGUGCCCAACAGCUGGCCCUGGGACUAGCAGGACAGGUACAAUGAGCACAAAGCAGUACCAUCGUUCAGCUCACCAUUGCUCGGCAUUUUGAUUUUUCCUUCCAGUCAUCUGCUUCAGCUGCAAAGCCCUUUCUGAUUCCUAUGAGGCCUUCCUGGAUGUCCCCUUGGAUAUCAAAGCAGCCUCAUCCCUCCCUGCAGCUCUGGAGGACUUUGUAACACCUGAGCACCUGGAUGGUGAAAACUGCUUUCAAUGUAGCAAGUGUGAGAAGAAUGUUGCCGCCACUAAGAGGUUCACUGUCCACUGUGCACCCAAGGUUCUCACUGUGUGUCUGAAGAGGUUUGACUGCUUCACUGCUGGGAAGAUCAGCAAGG